GUUAUAAUAGUUUAAAUAAAACCUUGGUCUUGUAAAUCAAAAUUAGAUAAUUAAUCUUUAUAACU
rnacentral:tRNA from 1 species